GAUUUCUGAUAUUAAUUUAUCUGUCCCGUCGUGGUUACACGUAUGAGUGACGGAAUAAAUUUAUCUGUUUUGUAUGUGUGUUUUAUGAUGUGAAAGCAUUUGUAAAAUAACUAUACAUCUUUUACUUUGAACAAAUUAGAGUGUUUCAAGCAGGCAUUUAUGCCUUGAAUACAUGAGCAUGGAAUAAUCAUCGAGGACUUUUUAGUUCUAUGUUGAUUGGUUCUAGAACUAUAGUAAUGAUGGAUAGGGAUAGUUGGGGGUGCUAGUAUUCCGAGGCCAGAGGUGAAAUUCUUGGAUUCUCGGAAGACUCACUUAGGCGAAAGCAUU
rnacentral:rRNA from 2 species